AAUAAAUUUCAUCCUACAUACAUAGGCUACACCUUGAGUACUGCAUUCAGGCUUGGGCCCCUCACUGCAAGAAGGACAGUGAGGCCCUGGAAUGCACCCAGAGAAGGACAACAAAGCUGUGAGGGCUCUGGAGCACAGGCCUUAUGAGGAGCAGCUGAGGGAUCUGGGAUUGUUCAGUCUGGACAAGAGGAGGCUCAGGGGUGACCUUAUCAUUCUCUACAGCUACCUGAAGGGUUGUUGUGGUCAGGUGGGGGUUGACCUCUUCUGCCAUGCAAGUGGCCGUAGGAUGAGAGAGAAUGGCCGCAAGUUGUGCCAGGGGAGAUGCGGGCUGGAUGUCAUUAUAUAUUUCUUCUCUGAGAGAGUGGUCAGGCGCUGGAAUGGGCUGCACAAGAAGGUGGUGGAGUUACCAUCCCUGGAGGUGUUCAAGGAACAUUUAGAUGUAGUACUGAGGGACAUGCUUUAGUGGGAAAUAUUGGCAGUAGGUGGACAGUUGGACUGGAUGAUUCUGAUUCUGAUUCUCUAAGCAGUUGGCUCUGAAUGUGUGUGAGCUUCACCUCAGCACAUACAGCUGUGGCAGUGCUCAGCUGGCUUCUAGCUGGGUAGCCGGGUGUGCUGGGGAAAGGAAUUUGUGACUCUUUCUACCUGGUCAUGUACAUAAACUAAUGGGAAGAAAACAGGUUGCUAGACGUGAGAUGCUAGAAGUGUUAGUGCUUUCCUGUCCUCUUUUCCCUUCACUGGGCUGCUUUUUACCUCUUAAUAAUUAUUUUGGAGUUGUCUGAACAGGCAAAAGUGCAUUAAGGACUUCCUUUGGAGAAAAGAAAAAAAAAAGGUAUCAUAGCAUUACAGAAUGGCUGGGGUUGGAGGAGACCCUCAAAGAUAUCUAGUUUCAACCCUCUAGCCAUAUGCAGGGUUGCCAACCACAAUCAGACUGCCCAGGAACCCAUCAAGUCUGGCCUUGAAUGCCUCCAGAGAUGGGGCAUCUACAGUUUCUCUGGGCAGUUCCAGUGCCCUUUGAGUAAAUAAUUUCUUCUUCCCCAGACCUGGAUACGGUAAUCCAAAUGGGGCCUCACAAGGGCAUAGCAGAGAGGGGUAAUCACCUCCCUUACUCUGCUGGCCACCCCUAUUUUGAUGCAGUCCAGGGUACCAUUGGGCUUCUGGGCUGUAAAAGCACAGUUCCUUCUUGGCAUGGCUGUUCUGUAGGAGUUCAUCUACCAGUCUGUAUCACAUCCAGGAUUGUCCCAACCUAAGUGCAGCACCCUGCACUUGGCCUUAUUCAAACUCACUAGGUUCUCAUGGGCCCACUUCUCAAGCCUGACCAGGUCCCUCUGGAUGGCUUCCCUUCCUUCUAUUGUAUUAUUGUAUUGACUGCACUACUCAGCUUAGUGUCAUCAGCGAACUCGCUGAGGGUACACUCAAUCCCAAUCAUUGUCAUGUGAGCAACAACAACAAAAAAAAAAUUGACAGGAGAGAACAGACUGCUGAUCAGAAAACCUCUGUGAAAAUAAAACCUUGAGAAUUUUUUAUAACUCUUAAGGAGGUAAGAGCUUUCAGACAAUUUCAGUUUGUAGUACUGAUAUGGUAUCAAGUUUUAUUCUGAAUAUGAGACACUCAUAUUCAAACCAUCUAUUAUUUUAUAUUUAGAGAUGCUUUUUGUGUGCAAUUUAUUUUUGUGUGCAAUUUAUUUCAAUGUCCACCUAUGAUCUGAGAUAGACUCGUACAAACUGAGGUGCAGAAAAACCACUGGCCUUUCACCCAUCUUGGACCUCCCAUGAUGACAAUGACUCAGACCCAGUCUAGGAAGUCAUGGUUUUUGACCAGCUCACAAGGAAAAGUACAGACUUCCAGCACGUGUUCAGGGAUCCUAAGGUAUUUGCUUAACUUUUAAGCAGAGAAGGUGUUUCUGUAUCAGAUCCAUCUUCAUGGAGCCGUGGAGGUGAAGGAUGGUUGAGUUGCACAGGUCUAUGAGGGAAGAUCUGCAAGCUUACAAUAGACAGUGACUUGCAGAAUUAAGAACUGUGGAGAAUUUUGCUAGUAAAUAUAUUAUGCUUUGAAUGUAUUAUUUCAAUCUUGCAAAGAUAGAAAUUUAUCUAAAAAUACUACUUAAUGAGUGUACACAGCUUUAAGCAGUGUGGUAGAUGGGCCAACUUGUGAUCUUACAUUUCAGUCUUUAAAGGCAAGAUAUCUUUAAGAUACAAGGCUCAAACAAGGAAAGGUUAAAGGAAAUUUUUUAUCAGGAGUAAGAAAAUUAAACACACAGUGCUUUGUGCACUGCCGAAUGUCAGUUUAUAACUGUGUUUUCUAGAACUGGAUUCACCCGUAGUGUUUUAAAUGCUUUACAAAGCCAACUAUAAGAAGAAAAGACUCAUCAGUACAAAAGAUAGAGGUAUUUGCAGUGAGCUUUAGAGAAAAAUUAAGAAACCGGAGUAUUCCGCGGAGUCACCAGUUGUUGUUUGC
ensembl:lncRNA